AAUUACCCAUCUCAUACAUUCCAAUAAAUCCAUAAAAUAUGUUUACAAGUUUAAAGGAACAAAUCAUUACAGUGCCAACCAGUUUAGGGCACUACUAGCACAUGCAAAGUUUUAGAAUACAAAAUAAGGAAAUAAAAUUAUAAUAAAACUUCUACUAGUAAACCUAUGAGAAAGAAAGCAGGUUAAUCUCAAAGAGUCUUCCUGUCACCUCCUAAAUAAUCCACAUG
rnacentral:misc_RNA from 1 species